rnacentral:tRNA from 1 species
AGGUGGUGGAAUUGGUAGACGCGCUGGAUUCAGGAUCCGGUGGCCGUUUUAGGCCGUGCGGGUUCGAAUCCCGCCCU